GGUGACAAUGCAUCGCGAUUUCAGAUCCAAUAACACAAGCAUGUGUCUGUUCAUGUGUUUUUUUUAACUGUCUUUAGAUGGAUUUGCGUUGCUGUUUUGCAUCAGCAUUUGGUGAUCUUUGUUGUUUUUGGUGGUGUUAAAACUUUUGUUCAUGUUUUGGGUUGUGCUGCACGAGUAUAGUUGUAUUACUGUGUGAAUUGAAGCAUAUAUAUGUUCGCUCUGCAGGUUGAAUGUCUAAAAAAGGGGCAAGGUCAUGCCGACAUUUUCCAUUACAUGCAGAGGGAGAUGACUAAUCUUGGCCGCACAGUCUGGAUCAAGGAGUGGCUGGAGCUGGGCAAGGGUGGCAUGACGCUGAUCCUGAGGCAGGUAAGCUUGGUUCAAGUCGGUGCUUUGGAGGAUGAGAUGACUGAGGGUUAAUUAAGCAGCGAGGACAGGGGAGCAACUCCCUCCCUGCCCCCUUCUUUGCUGCUUGUGCUGCUUUGGCCGCGGCUAAAAAAUGUCUUGGUCCUCUUGUGAUGUCUAGCAGUCGGUUGACAUGGUUGGCAUUAUUGUGAUGCUCCAGGUUGAGGAGCUUGUAAUAGCAGUAGCACUACCUGUCCUUUCCUUGGUAGCACCGUUUGAUUCUUACGUAGCACUGUGCACUUGUAUAUUGUUUGCCAGGUGCUCUGGAAAGUCCAAAAAAUAUUAAAGGUCAUGGCCAAAUUUUCUGUA